CUACGUCCCUUCGUUUUGUUUGUGUGACUGCUUGUGGCUUUUAUCAAGCUAUGAUAUACCUCCAUUCUUAUCAUAACAUGACUUGUGUAACAUAAGAUAGUUGACCAGAUGGAGAUUAGAUUACAAUGCACCCCAAAACUCAAUAAUUCUAAAUUCGAACCUCAGUGACAAGCACCUCUUCAUAAUACUAACACAAGUCGGGUUCCAUUACAGACCAAAAUCCGCAAGGAAACCAUACCCUUCACUUCUUUGAUGCAUAGUUAACUGCUGAGACGAAGGCUAGCGGUGACAAGCCUGUUGUGAAACAAUGUCAGACUGUGAAGAUUGCUGUGACUUGGAUUGCUGUGACUCGGAUUGCUGUGACUUGGAUUGCUGUGAUGGGGGAUUAUGCUGUGAUUUCUGCUUCGACGUCGCUGAAGAAGUGGAGGACAAUAAAAAGAAAGAGAAGAAGAAGAAGAAGAAGAGAGGAGAGGAAGAUUACUUAGAUGUCGUGACAUCGCAGCCGACGGCUUCGCAAAACGGAUAAAGGAAAUGGAAGGAUAAUCGCUUAUGAUGGUAGAACUGGAGAGAGAUGGAAGAAAGGGGAGGUAAAGAGACUGACAAAAAUAGUUAUGAAUAUAUGUAUGUCUUUGUAUACAUACUGAUUGGAAUAAUGUAUUGAUAUUUUUGUUUGAUGUAACAGUAAAUUAAAAUUUUGAGGUUAAAAUUAAAUAUAAUACUACUU